rnacentral:rRNA from 1 species
UACGGUCAAUUCACGCUGAAACACCGGUUCUCGUUCGAUCACCGAAGUUAAGCAUCGUAGAGCCAGGUCAGUACUUAGAUGGGGACCGUUGGGAACACCUGGUACUGUAAG